rnacentral:rRNA from 1 species
GUUAUCGGAUUACUGGGCGUAAAGCGCAUGCAGGUGGAUGAUUAAGUCAGAUGUGAAAGCCCGGGGCUCAACCUCGGAAUAGCAUUUGAAACUGGUCAUCUAGAGUACUGUAGAGGGGGGUAGAAUUUCAGGUGUAGCGGUGAAAUGCGUAGAGAUCUGAAGGAAUACCGGUGGCGAAGGCGGCCCCCUGGACAGAUACUGACACUCAGAUGCGAAAGCGUGGGGAGCAAACAGGAUUAGAUACCCUGGUAGUCCACGCCGUAAACGAUGUCUACUUGGAGGUUGUGGCCUUGAGCCGUGGCUUUCGGAGCUAACGCGUUAAGUAGACCGCCUGGGGAGUACGGUCGCAAGAUUAAAACUCAAAUGAAUUGACGGGGGCCCGCACAAGCGGUGGAGCAUGUGGUUUAAUU